CCUAGGAUUCGAACUGGCGAAACCCUGGGCCGCCGAAGCAGAGUGUGUGAACUUAACCACUCCGCCACCGGGCCAGCCCCUGGCCCCCCAUUUUGAUGUGCAGGAAGCUGGGGUCCCCAGGUGCUGGCUGCCUUGACAAUAUCUCACCAUCUAGAAUGGACGUCACCCCCGCCCCCCAGUUGCACUUCAGGUCAGUGCCAUGUCUCCAAAGUUGGGGUAAACAUUCCUGAGUGCCAUUUAAAAAAUAACAGUAACUGAUAUCUUCUUAUUUACAAAAUUAAAUGUCUCCAAAGAACACCUAGGAAUGAGAAAGAGAUCACAGAAGGCUGGAGAGGAGGGGGGAGGUACUGGCAGAGGGGCGGCUGUCAAGAGCGAGCCAAGCUUCCUCCAGGGACCCCAGGUUUGGGAUAAAGUUCCAAAAGGUAACAGUUUCCUACUGAAUGGAGAGUUUCCUGCUCCCAGAGAUCUGUGGGUCUCCAGGGGUGGCAAAUGCUUCCCGAGGGGGCAGAGUGUCACCCUAGUGGAAGAACAGACGUGUUCUUAGGGGAAGAGUGACAAACAGCAAACAAACAUUGCUCCUCUCUGAGGUUCCGGGAGCUUCUUCCAUUGAUCGAUUUUAGAGAGAAGAUGCACACAAAGUUACGUGUCAGAACAUUUCCCUUCUCCCUCCCACCUCCCACCACUGAAAAUCAAAAUUUGUACCUAGAAUAGUUUGUGUAAAAAGUGAGAAUGGGGAGGAGGCCUUCACUUACAUCUCCUUUUAAUUACCUAUCAAAAAAAAAAAAAAAAAAAAGAGAGAGAGAGAGAGAGACAAGUUAAAUGGGAAGCCACAAUCCACUGUUCUGCUCUGUUGUACAAAGUACAAUUUGAUCUGAUAUUUCUGGUAUUUAAAUGUGCAGAUCUUUUGAUCCACAGUGGCACUUCUGGAAAAUUAUCUCAAGGAAAAAAUCACUUAGACUUGCAAAAAUGCGUGCACGAGGGUGUCCAGGGAACGCUGUGGAUCCCAGCCCCCAGCUCCCAGGCCCCACAAGCUCCUUACGUGAAGAUGGACCUUCUCGUCGCUCCCACCGGCAUUCACUUCCAUCUUGCUUGCUGCCGUAUCCCUGGACCUAGAAGACUGCACAGCCACGGUCUAGUAAACUGAGGACUGGAGAAAUCACCCUGGACCUGAGCAAGAGGGCAGCCAGGAAGAUGCUAUGCCAACAACGCCUGCCAACAUUUCAGGAAAAAUAAUUGAAAUAAUAAAUAAUUCUGAUUAGGCCGAUAAACCUGGAGGCUGAGGGCAGGACGGAUGCUGAUCUUCCUGACUGAAUCCCGCCAGUUACCUAGAACACGCUGUGUAGAACGUUCUCUUGGAUGUUUGCUGAUCAGCUAUGAUGCCAGGCAGUGAAAGGGCAUCGGGACAACAGUGUCUGUCCCGUGCUCUGUGAAACGGACACAGCACGACUUCACAGGGACACUUUGCAGAGCAGACUUCAGGAAACAAACAGAGCUUAAAAAUAAGCAUUUCCUAAAUAUGGAAAUGAGAAAACGGUGACAUCACUAGAGAAGACCCAAAGACUUUUUUUUUUCCACCUUAAAUGUUGCCUACCUCUUUUGGGCCAAUAAAUAAAUCUAAGCUUCAGAA